GUUUUCCUUGGACGUCUCGGACAAAUGUUGGAUAUGUAGAUAUUUGGAAGGGAGACAUUUCAUGAUGAUAUAUCCUUUGCUAUAACAUCGAUAAGUACCUCUGCCGCUCUGCCACUCAAACAUUCUCACAUUAGAGUUGAAGUAUGUUGAUACCUAUAGUUAAAGUUUCAAGUUUUAUUUGGCAAAUGCACAGAACAACACAGCGUCAUCCUGCCUAAUUAAAUUAUUGCGACAUGGGACCCGACAACUACGCAGUGAAAAUUACGAGAAAAAUAUACAAGCAAAAAAAUAUAUAGCCAAAAAAAAUUAUAAAGCUAAAAUAUACACAACACAGUACACUAGCAGAUGUUUAAAAGGAGUACUGUAAACUGGCAGCAAUCUGGGAAGUAGGAUUGAACAUUAUAGAUAUGGCAUCGUGUAUGGUAGAUGCCUUGCACGGAGGGAGGAUGGUAGCUGAUUACACGCUCCGCAGACUUUACCGCCUGUACCAGGCUGUAAUGCAGCCUGAGAGGAUACUUACAAUGGUGCACCUGUAGAAGUUGAAAUCGAGACUCAUCAGACCAGGCAACAUUCUUCCAGUCUUCAACUGUCCAAUUUUGGUGAGCUCGUGCAAAUUGUAGCCUCUUUUUCCUAUUUGUAGUGAUGAGUGGUACCCGGUGGGGUCUUCUGCUGUUGUAGCCCAUCCGCCUCAAGGUUGUGCGUGUUGUGGCUUCACAAAUGCUUUGCUGCAUACCUCGGUUGUAACGAGUGGUUAUUUCAGUCAAAGUUGCUCUUCUAUCAGCUUGAAUCAGUCGGCCCAUUCUCCUCUGACCUUUAGCAUCAUCAAGGCAUUUUCGCCCACAGGACUGCCGCAUACUGGAUGUUUUUCCCUUUUCACACCAUUCUUUGUAAACCCUAGAAAUGGUUGUGCGUGAAAAUCCCAGUAACUGAGCAGAUUGUGAAAUACUCAGACCGGCCCGUCUGGCACCAACAACCAUGCCAUGCUCAAAAUAGCUUUCCCAUUCUGACAUUCAGUUUGGAGUUCAGGGGAUUGUCUUGACCAGGACCCCUAAAUGCAUUGAAGCAACUGCCAUGUGAUUGGUUGAUUAGAUAAUUGCAUUAAUGAGAAAUUGAACAGGUGUUCCUAAUAAUCCUUUAGGUGAGUGUAUAUAUAUACACCGAUCAGCCAUAACGUUAUGACCACCUGCCUAAUAUUGUGUAGUUCCCCUUUUUGCCGCCAAAACAGCGCUAACCCGUCGAGGCAUGGACUCCACUAGACCUCUGAAGGUGUGCUGUGGUAUCUGGUACCAAGAGGUUAGCAGCAGAUCCUUUAAGUCCUGUAAGUUGCGAGGUGGGGCCUCUAUGGAUCGGACUUGUUUGUCCAGCACAUCCCACAAAUGCUCGAUUGGAUUGAGAUCUGGAGAAUUUGGAGGCCAAGUCAACACCUUGAACUCAUUGUUGUAUUCCUCAAACCAUUCCGGAACCAUUUUUGCUUUGUGGCAGGGCGCAUUAUCCUGCUGAAAGAGACCAAUGCCAUCAAGGAAUACCAUUGCCAUGAAAGAGACCAAUGCCAUCAAGGAAUACCAUUGCCAUGAAAGGGUGUACAUGGAUUGCAAUAAUACUUAGGUAGGUGGUAUGUGUCAAAGUAACAUCCACAUGAAUGGCAGGAUCCAAGGUUUCCCAGCAGAACAUUGCCCAAAGCAUCACACUGCCUCCGCCGGCUUGCCUUCUUCCCAUAGUGCAUCCUGGUGCCAUGUGUUCUCCAGGUAAGCGACUCACACGCACCCAGCCAUCAACGUGAUAUAAAAGGAAACGUGUUUCAUCAGACCAGGCCACCUUCUUCCAUUGCUCCGUGGUCCAGUUCUGAUGCUCACGUGCCCAUUUUAGGCAGUGUCGGCAGUGGACAGGGGUCAGCAUUGGCACCCUGACUGGUCUGCGGCUACGCCACCCCAUACACAACAAACUGCAAUGCACUGUAUGUUCUGACACCUUUCUAUCAGUACCAGCAUUAACUUUUUCAUAAAUUUGAGCUACAGUAGCUCGUCUGUUGGAUCGGACCACACAGGCCAGCCUUCCCUCCCCACGUGCAUCAAUGAGCCUUGGCCGCCCAUGACUCUGUCGCCGGUUCACCGCUUUUCCUUCCUUGGACCACUUUUGAUAGGUACUGACCACUGCAGGCCGGGAACACCCCACAAGGGCUGCAGUGUUGGAGAUGCUCUGACCCAGUCGUCUAGCCAUCACAAUUUGGCCCUUGUUAAAGUCGCUUGCCCAUUUUUCCUGCUUCUAACACAUCAACUUGAGGAGUUGAGUAGAGAAUGUUCACUUGCUGCCUAAUAAAUCCCACCCACUGACAGGUUUCAUUAUAACGAGAUUAUCAAUAUUAUUCACUUCACCUGUCAGUGGUCAUAAUGUUACAGCUAAUCGGCGUAUAUGCCACUGUAUUUAGCCAGUUGAAAAAUCUAAAUAUAAUUAUAUAUAAAGUUACAUUUAUAUGGAAGUUGCUAACUUUGGCUGUUAUGAAACAACAGAAAAAAUGCUGAUUCGUUUAUUUUUUCUACGACACUGUAUUUAAGUCUUUGCAUAUGAAGUAGGUGACUGAUUGUGUGAUUUGCGUUGCCUGUUUGGAAUUGUGGGGUAGUCUUUAGUGAUGGGAAGUUCGACUCACUUUACUGGACUGGAUCUUUCGAAUCGUUCAGUAAAAAGAACAAAUCUUUCGACUCAUUUAGUUCAUUUGACUCAGUCCCUCUCUGCCUCCUGGGGAAGUAUAGCACUCCCUUAAACAAGUCGCUACACUUGUUAAAUGGGAACAGUAAAUGCUACACCAUAUCCUGCUUGAUUAGAUUUAAAAAUGUGUUAUUGUACAAAAACCGCACAAGAUGCAUCUCAUUGUCCAGAUUCUCAGUGAAAUUGUCAUACUCAUCACAACUUCUAAACAUUCUUUCAUCGUUUGAGCCAUCUCAUGCUAAAUGAUCCAUUCAAUUAGAAAGAUCUGUCAGACAUCAAUGCAUAUUCCAUAAAUAUAAAUGACAUGUAAUGGUUGUGAUCUCUGCUCAAUCGACAGACUACCUGUCAGGUGACAUAGUAAUGAAAUAGGAAUCACCAGGAGAUCUUUUUCCUGGUGCAUCCCAAGGGAAAACAUCAGAUGUGAAGUUGAUGAAAAUCAACAAGUGUGACAGGAUGUCCACCCAGAGGUUGGGAACUUGUAGUGUUAUGUACCGUGAGGAGGUGCAAUUCAUUGUUAUUUACAGAACUACCGCAGGAUUUUUCAUUAUAGAAUUUAGUUGUUUUCAGGGAUGUCAUUUUGUGGCGAAUUUUCAGCUCACUGUAUAUGGCUUUAUAUGUAAGAAAUAUGUAAAAGUUGACAUGCAAAUGUGAAUUUUCUUUUUACAUGUAACAUAUUGCUACAUUUACUGUAUAAAUACAAAUAUGCAUAUCCUUUUUCUGUGUACUACAGAAUUGUACAGUAUUCACUUUUCCCAGUAAACUUUUACCACUGUUGGAACUUGUAUUUAAAAUGCUCAGUGUGAUACACACCAGCAUUAAGCUAGUCAGAAAAUAGAACAAAACUGAAAUGUAUACAUAACAAAUAUUUCCAGGGAUGACUGCCAUGGUGAAAAAACAUCUAACCAUUUUGACCAGUAUGGCUCACAGGAUGAGAAAAAAACUUUCAUUUUGCUGACACUUCCCACAUUUCCCAUACUCACCGUCCUCUCCACACCUGGCACACCUCUUCCACGUUGUUGCCACAUGCCCAAACCUCUGACAGUUAAAGCACAUACGCCCUUACAAAAAUCACGGACUGGCUGUCAACACUCCAUCCUUCUGUGUCUGCAGCCUUAUCACAUUCCCUAGCGCUCCCCCUCAAUAUUAUCAAUCAUUUCCUUAUCUGUCACACACACCGACACCUCUGUGAUCACCCCUUUUGACCACUGUUCUCUUUGUAGCCCAACCACUCUGCCCCACUCCACCCUAAACUUCCGUAACUGAUUCACUAUUCCUACUUUAAAUUCUUCCCCAGCUCGAAGUCUCGUUUCUCCACACCACUACCCCCAUCUACCCGCGGCGUAGCUCUCUCCGUUUCUCCCCACCACGACCCCCAUCUACCCGCCGUGUAGCUCUCUCCGUUUCUCCCCACCACGACCCCCAUCAACCCGCGGUGUAGCUCUCUCCGUUUCUCCUCGCGGUGUAGCUCUCUCCGUUUCUCCCCACCACGACCCCCAUCAACCCGCGGUGUAGCUCUCUCCGUUUCUCCCCGCGGUGUAGCUCUCUCCGUUUCUCCCCACCACUACCAAUCUCCGGGCAGCUGCUACUACCGGACGCCACACUAAUGGUUUGCAGCUUCUUUUUUCUUCCUCCUGCCCACUACUAUCUCUGGUAAAUAUGCUACCACCACUACCCCAUGUCUUACCUCCACUGUGCCCCAUGCCAUCUUCGCUAACCCCGUGGCUGUCCUCUUCCCUCUCUGUCUGAUUUUAAUCCAUGUUCAUAAAGCAGCGUUGAAAAAACUAUUUUAAUUUGUCGUCAUUUUUUGUGCUUUGGUUAAGUUAAGAGGGAGAAAUCCAUUUUGUAGUCCACUUAUAAGGUCUCAGUUAUACCCACCAGG
ensembl:lncRNA